UACUGAUUUUUCUUGUUUUUAGAUGGCCCAGCUAAAACCCAUUAUAGAACUAACAAUUGAUUUGUUUUUUUUAAAGGUGAUCUUUCUUUUUUCAUUUUUUUUUCAUUUCAAUCAGGGAUAAAGGUAACAUCCCCAUCCUCCCCUUUCCCUGUGGGCUGAGGAUUGGUCCAUGAUAACCUGCAAAAGAUAGUUAUAAUGCCAAAAUUCAAUCAUCUCAUCAAACUAUAUAGCUGUUAGUUAGAACAG
rnacentral:misc_RNA from 1 species